GACGAACGCUGGCGGCGUGCCUAAUACAUGCAAGUCGAACGCAGUGGGGACGGGUGAGUAACACGUGGGUCACCUCCCAUCAGAGGGGAUAACACUUGGAAACAGGUGCUAAACCGAUACUGAUGGAUGGACCCGCGGUGCAUUAGCUAGUUGGUGGGGUAACGGCGCACCAAGGCCAAGAUGCAUAGCGGACCGGAGAGGGGGAUAGGCCACACUGGUGCUGAGACACGGCACAGACUCCGACGGGAGGGAGCGGUAGGGAGAUUUCGGGAAGGGACGAAAGUCUGACCGAGCAACGCGGCGUGAGUGAAGAAGGUUUUCGGAUCGUAAAACUCUGUUGUAGAGAAGCGGUAUCUAACCAGAAAGCAACGGCUAACUACGUGCCAGCAGCCGCGGUAAUUC
rnacentral:rRNA from 1 species